rnacentral:tRNA from 1 species
GAGAGGUGGCCGAGCGGCUUAAGGCGCUAGUCUCGAAAACUAGUAUGCGAGGUAAUCGUAUCGCGGGUUCGAAUCCCGCCCUCUCC